GAUCAUGGCUCAGGAUGAACGCUAGCUACAGGCUUAACACAUGCAAGUCGAGGGGCAGCAUGGUCUUAGCUUGCUAAGGCUGAUGGCGACCGGCGCACGGGUGAGUAACACGUAUCCAACCUGCCGUCUACUCUUGGCCAGCCUUCUGAAAGGAAGAUUAAUACAAGAUGGCAUCAUGAGUCCGCAUGUUCACAUGAUUAAAGAUUCAUCGGUG
rnacentral:rRNA from 1 species